UACGAAGGGUGCAAACGUUGCUCGGAAUUAUUGGGCGUAAAGCGCACGUAGGCGGCCUUGUAAGUCGGAUGUGAAAUCCCUCGGCUUAACUGAGGACGUGCGGAAGAAACUGCAAGGCUCGAGUCCGGGAGAGGGGGGUGGAAUUCCCAGUGUAGCGGUGAAAUGCGUAGAUAUUGGGAGGAACACCGGUGGCGAAGGCGGCCCCCUGGACCGGUACUGACGCUGAGGUGCGAAAGCGUGGGGAGCAAACAGG
rnacentral:rRNA from 1 species